GAUGGAUGUGACAACUGAGGCAGGAACAACGCGUGUGCACCACGACGAACCACGCCAGUUUGAGCUGAAACCAAAAAAAGCGCCUCAUGCCGGCUGUGGAUCGAUGCCUCCCUGCGGGUCCCAGAGUGUGAGGCCCGUCCAGCCAUGCGGAACCCCAGGAGAGCUGGCUGUGGUUUGAUAUGCCGCAUGAUGUCUUCCAGCACAGCUGCAGCCAGCCAACCUGCCCCCGUCUCUCCACACACCAUUUGGAUUUUUAGCCCAGCGCUCUACUGGGAACCGGGCUUGGCAGUGUUGGUUACAGGUCUCAGACGGACCACUGAUGGGCCCUUCUGCUCAGCAUCCCUUUGUGAGCAGGUAGAAAAGGGGGAGGGAGACAGGUGUGUUUAUGUUCCACUUGUUGCACACAACCACCCAGAACAGAUGCCCUCUGAUUUCUAAGAGGACAGUGAGGAGGAAGACGGUACAAAGAGAAAAAGGGACAUGGACUGGAAGAAAAUUUGAUGGUGGAAAAAUUUUACUAUUUUCAAUGAAAGAGUCUUAAAAACGAUGUGACCAAAGUUUUGCCAUAUGUACAUUUCCCCAUCGCAAAAAUGCUUCCAGCUUAAAGCCAUAUUUUUUCCCCAGGAAAGUCUUCUUUUUCCCAAACAGCAUCCUGAAUUGGUUUGAGAAGAUGCUUCCCAGUCAGAGUUCAUGAAAUCAUAUCAGCAUUACACCAUGCUCUUGGAGCAGACCUUAUGCACAGUGUCUGAGCUGAAGAGUGCAUUGGAGUCGGGAUGUUUGGCUCAGCAGGUUGUGAGGAGUUUGAGUAAUCAGGGUUUGGGGAUUCUAAUUAGGACAAUUAAGUCCUAAUUACAAUGUAAACACAUACUGCUGCCAGAACUGCAGUCCCCUAGAGUGAGGCCUUUGUAGCAUGAACUCCCAUUCUGCUCUGUUGUCAGCAACACCCUCAUAUUCUGCAGUCCUAACUUGAAUAGAUGAUACAGCAAUUAAGUGCAAGCAGAAGUGACAUACAACCUUUAAUCAAGGUAGUCCAUCUUUAGCUGCUUUGCCUUUCAGAUUUAUUGCCGUCGUAGUUGGUGUGGCUUUACAUCAAAUGUUUAUGGUGUUCAGCUGGAAGACAAAUAGCAGAUCUGUUUGAGUAUGACACAGGGAUCAGUAUGGACCUGCUAGAUGCAUCUGGAGAACUUUAUAUAUAUGUUAAGCAUUUAGAAGUUACUGCCAUCCGUCCAUCCAUCAUCUCCAGCUAUUCCAAGACCCCGCUGCGUAGUCCAGGAGGGAAACCUCAACAUUCACCCGCUAGUGUGUCCAGCUUUUCAUAGAAUCCCAGAACUACCCCAGGCCAGGAAGGUAAUACUGUCUUCCCAUGAUGGUCUUGGGCAUAACCCCCGAAAAACUUUCAUUCAUCAUUUGUGAAUUUUUCACCAGCAAUCCACUGAUUCUGGAUUUGUUCAAACUGUAUAUGAACAUAUUUUUGUGAUGGAUUGUUUAAAUUUCUUAAUAUAAAUUAUCAUUGUAAAAUGAGACUGACGGAAUGACUUAGUCAACCUAUGAGCCUUCCACUCCUCAAAAAAAA